rnacentral:lncRNA from 1 species
AUUUUACAUCACCGUAAAAGAAAAGUAAGAAAAAUAAAUGAUUCUAUCCCAAAUCAGUCAUCUUCUCCACAUGUUAUCAGAGCCAACCGACCCUUGGUUCUCUGUUAUCACAACCUAACCCUUUUUCUUUUUCUUUCUCUUUGACACCCAUGGUAGAUUCCAGAAGUAUGGAGGAACCAGGUGACCAAUCCUCCAUUCUCACAGAACUAAUUGCCAAAAUACCUGAAGUUUUGACCAAAACUCAACCCCAUACCCCAGCCACAGAGACUUCCGCUGCUCCUAUAGGCAUCAAGUUAGACGGCACCAAUUAUGCCACCUGGUUCCAGAUUGUUGAGAUAUACAUCUCCUGCAAAGACAAACUGGGCUUAUAUCAAUGGAGACCUUCCUCAACCACCUCUGACUAACCAGUCCUUUAAAAAAUGGCACUGACAAUGCCAUUGUCAAAGGAUGGUUGAUUAACUCCUUGAAACCAUUGUUAAUCAGUAACUUCAUACGAUUUCCUACAGCAAAACUUGUUUGGGACUUCAUUGAUACCACAUAUUUUGAUGGAAGUGAUACUUCUCAAGUAUACGACCUCAAGGCGUCGAGUUUCUCGUCUCCGACAGAAUAGAGGAUCUCUUGAAAAAUUUAGCGUGAAAUAGAUUUCCGUCAUCCAAAUCCCAUGGAAUGCCCGAAGGAUAUCAAACACUACAAUUCUAUCAUUCAGGAGGAUCGGGUGUAUACCUUUCUGGAUGGUCUUGAUGAUCGAUUGGAUAAAAUCAGGGGGGAUGUUCUUCAGCUACGUCCAUUCCCUACAGUUGAACAGGCAUACGCCCUUGUUCGUAGAGAAGCCAAUAGACAAGCCGUGAUGACCACAGAAAGCACCAAACCCAUGACAGGUGCUGUCUUAACUUCUAAAAGCCUUAAGUUAGGAUCAACGACCACAACUUCUACAUGAUCUGGAGGAGGAAAAUCAUCAAACAACAAAGCCACAAAUAAUGAACAGCAAUGCUCAUACUGUGGAAGCAAGAGACAUAGUCGAGAAACCUGUUUCAAAUUGAAUGGAUAUCCAGAAUGGUGGACUGAACUCCAAGCCAAAAAACCCAAAGAUGGAAUGGACAGAGGAAUGGGCAAGGCAAGAGUAGCUAAUGCAACGGCUGGUGAAGAUGCCACAUCUCACCUUUCUCUACCAUCCAAUGAAAUUGCCCAAGAAUCAGGUACCUAUAAUAAUACAGGAGUCACCCAAGAUUUUAACUCUCACUGGAAUAAAAAUAAAGCCAUGGAAAUUGGGCGUGUGUUUUACGGGAACACAACUUCAACAACUCACUGAAAUGAAACUAAAAAUCGGGGCAUUUGGCUACUAAAUUCUGGUGCAAGCGAUCAUAUGACUUUUG